GUGAGUGAGACCUAGUAUUACAAAGUUGACCCAGCAACUUUACACCAGUGGGAGAGGCAGAACUGCUCUUUCUUUUCAACAUAAUUUAAGUUACACAUGAUUUCUUCCAAGUGGUUUGGCUUGUUAAAACAUCUUACAUUUUAGAUACAUUAUGAAACAGGAAAUUGCUGGCUUUGUGUUUACAGAAGUACCUGACUAUGCCUGACUUUUGUGCAGCCUACGGCUGCUCUAAUCACCGCAGUCUGCAAACAAGAACCCGUGGAAUCACCUUUCACGUGUUUCCCAAAACCGGAGAGAGGAGGAGGCAGUGGGAACUCGCCCUAAGAAGGGACGGUUUUGUUUCCUCUGGCAGGACGCUGCUCUGCAGUGAGCACUUCAGGAGUGAGGACUUUGACAGGACGGGGUAGACUGUCCGUCUUAAAGAUGGUGUUGUGCCAACAGUAUUCAAUUUCCCAGUUCAUCUUCAAAGGCCAGAAGCAACAAGAAGCACAAUCACUUCAAGAAGAGCGGAAGAUGAACCUCAGCCUAAUGUUGUGAGUAUUCUGAAUGUGGCCAAGACCAGAGAGAUGGUCAUUGAUUUCAGGAGGGUGAGGACAUCUCUUCUACCCCUGUGCAUUCUGGGAGAGGAUGUGGCUGUUGUGGAGGACUACAAAUACCUGGGAGUGCACUUAGACAAUGGGCUGA